GGUUGUUGACAGAAGAUAGAGGGCACUAAGGAUGAUAUGCAUACACAUAUAUAUACAACAUGGAGGAGGAGCUUAAUUGCAUUUCAUUUCCUUUGUGCUCUCUAGACUUCUGUCAUCACC
rnacentral:pre_miRNA from 1 species